rnacentral:rRNA from 1 species
AAAGAUUAAGCCAUGCAUGUGUAAGUAGAGUUGAUAUAAAGCGAAACUGCGAACGGCUCAUUACAACAGAUAUAAUUUACUUGUUCUGAAUUCCUAAACGGAUAACUGCGGUAAUUCUGGAGCCAAUACGUGCAAAAAGUCCUAUUCAGCAAUGAGUGGGAUGCACUUAUCGGAGCAAAACCUUUCCUGGUUUGAUGCUAACUCUGGAUAAGCAAGCUUAUCGCCCGAGUACGGGCGAAGUGACAUUCAAGUAUCUGCCUUAUCAACUAUCGUUGGUAGUGUAUUGGACUACCAUGGUGUUGACGGGUAACGGAGAAUCAGGGUUCGACUCCGGAGAGGGAGCCUUAGAGACGGCUACCAUGUCUAAGGACAGCAGCAGGCGCGCAACUUAUCCACUGUCCACUGGGACGAGAUAGUGACGAGAAAUAACAAGCCCGUUCUCUUUGAGGUCGGGCAUUGGAAUGGAUGAAAUGUAAAAGAUUUCAUGAGUACCCACGAGAGGGCAAGUCUGGUGCCAGCAGCCGCGGUAAUUCCAGCUCUCGUAAUGUAUAGAAUUAUUGUUGCGGUUAAAAAGUUCGUAGUUGGAUUCCCCGUUGGAUGUGGGUGUGUCUAACGACAAUACUCACGACAACGUUUACACCAGGGCUGUGCGAACAGCCACGGUGUGGAUUACUUUGAACGGCUUAAGUGCUUAAGGCGAGUCUUCGGACUGAAUACCGGUGCAUGGAAUAAUGGAACAAGGUUUCGGCCGAGUUUUAUUGGUUUUGUCGGCUGAGACAAUGGUUAAGAGGAACAGCUGGGGGCACUCGUAUCGCUGCGCGAGAGGUGAAAUUCGUGGACCGCAGCGAGACGCACUAAAGCGAAGGCAUUUGCCAAGAGUGUUUUCAUUAAUCAAGAACGAAAGUCAGAGGUUCGAAGGCGAUUAGAUACCGCCCUAGUUCUGACCGUAAACGAUGCCAACUAUCAAUCCGCCAGUAGCUUUUGGUUAUUGGCGGGCGGAUCGACGGAAACGAAAGUGUUUCGGUUCCGGGGGAAGUAUGGUUGCAAAGCUGAAACUUAAAGGAAUUGACGGAAGGGCACCACCAGGAGUGGAGCCUGCGGCUUAAUUUGACU